GAAAAAUCGUUUAAUUAGGCAGGAGCGCUCCUCUAUUAAGUGUCUGAAGGAAUGCUUAAGGACCCUUACGUGGCGAGUUUUAAUUUGAUGGCUCAUGUCUCUCUCUCUCUCUUUCCUCGAUUCUUUUCUUCGAUCUCUGUUGAAUCUUCGAUCUCUCCAUCUUCUCCGUCAAUUCUUCUGUCUCUCCAUCUUCUCCGUUGAUUCUCUGUCGUUUUUGAUAUCAAUCUUUCUCUCUGUCGAUUCAAUGAUGAUUUUCUUGAUGAUCUUGAGGAAGUGAACUCGUCUUGGAUUCCUGAGAAUAUGUGAGCUGGGUUUUGUUGAAUUAAGCUCUUGUGGAUGUGAUUUUGUGAAAACAUGGUUCUAGUGUAUUUUCUGAAUUGGGGGUUUUGGUUAUGUUUCUGGUUAAUCGAUAGCUUGAUCUGACCUAAGGAAAAAAAUUUCACCUUUGAGUAGCUGGUUCUUGACCUUUUUGAGAGAUUGAUUUGGUGCUUAGUUUUAAAGUCAUAGAAGCUUGAAUUGUUGGUUUUGCGGAAUUGAGUUCCUUCAGUUGAUCUAACCUGACAAGUAGUAGAAAAGGUUUCACCUUUGAGUAGCUGGGUUCAUGACUCUUUUGGUAGCUUGAUUUGGGUUGAAAGAUCGCUCAUUGGGUUGAUAAAGCAAACGAGCCCGAGUUCAAGAAACAGAAACUCGAACAGCUCCAGAGAAAAAAACUUAUCACUCUGUUCUUCUUGCUUUGGAAGCAGAGACCUCGGGAACAUCAUCACACGUAAUGCUUUCUCACUGUUCUUGUUCUUCUUCUCUUUUCCAUUUGAUUCAUGAGGUUAUAGUGUGCUCGUAUUCUUCUGGGAGGUUCUGUUAUAAUUCUCUCUACUCUCAUCUUCGUGUGUGUGUUAGAAACUAUUUGAUUCUAUGUUAAAUUCACACCAUUGGCAGGUUUCUAUUCUAGUACUCUCUGCUUGCAUCUUCUUGCGUAUAGAUAGAAACUGUUCUAUGAAACUCCACUAUUGAGAAGACAAUAGAAAGUACUACUAUAUGGUAUAUCAUAUGAACAUGACUGCAGACUUCUGAAGCACUUUACACAUUAAUCAUUGGGUUCAUGAGCUGUUUUUCUAGUUUUUGCAGUCAAGGAUUUCUGAUGUAAGCUAUGAAGAGCGGGAUGAUCCUGAUGGUGGAUUGAAACACAAAGGCUUAUCAGGUGACUCGUAGUGAGAUUCACUUUACAAUCUGUCUGCAGGUUUCUUCCUGCUCCAUUCGUUGAUACCAUCUGAUAAAACUUCUUUUUCUUUUUGAGAAAACCACGAGACUAUAGAGACGACUGCCUGAUCAAACUUCUUAUCAUAACUCUUUGUUCAUUCACACUUUUGAUCAAACUUCAUGUCAUGUAUGCUUUUCUUUCAUCUUAUAAUAAAAUCAUUCAACUUUCUAAAAAAAAAAAUUUUAAGAACCUCGAUGAGGUUCUCCCAUUGGAGGAGUAAAAUUUAAUUAGAUUAACAAGGGUUCUUAAGUUUUCAAAUCACAAAAUUAACUACUAAAUAAUUCAUCAGAACCCUACAUAGUUCCUUACCAAUGGAGAUGCUCU
rnacentral:lncRNA from 1 species